UGAUUUUGGACCAUCCCAAAAAAUUUCCUGUCUCAAAUCAACAACCAAACAUCCUAAUAUCAUACCAAACAAUUGAAAACUUGCCAAUUAACUAAUACAAGUCUCCACCAUAACUAAAUCACCAACCAACCACUAGAAAUACUAAUUUAUCUCCAACUUUGAUAAAUGAGAACGAUACUCGACAUAAAACCAUAAUAACAAAAGAAUACUCAUGACACUAAAAUAAUGAUAAUGGAGCGACUCUAAGAGUUCAAUAAAAAGACCAUAACAAUAAAUAAAAUCUCUGCCCACGCGAACAAGUGCGAGGCUCAGCGAGAAAUAUCAACAUGUGCGCUCUAAUUAACGAAAUCCUCGCCUGCGUCAACUGCUGUCUCUAUAAAAAACAAUUAGCGGGAAAUGAGUCACUAGCUCAGUGAGUAAUAACACUUAACCACAACUGUUUUUAUUUGGGGACAAUUCAAAAACAUGCUAGUAUAUCAAACUGAAAACAACAUAAAAAUGCCCUUUCAGAAACAAUAAAUAAUUUUUAGUCUCAUUAUACUUUUCUUGUAGUAUAAUACAAAUACAAUUCAGUAAUAAGCUCGGUAACUACUAUAUAAUAUCAGUAUUCACAUUUUGGGAGGUUUCAAUGAACGGAUCAUGUAAUCGGUAUAACUGUGGACUUCUUCGCAAGAAGUCAAAUAUAACGGUAGUCCCUACCAGAGGGAAAUCGGUAACAGUAUACUAGUUCUAUCUUCCCACUAGCGAGGGCUAUAACUGUACUGUAUAGUCGGUAAGUACAAGGAGCACCAGGUCUAACAAACCCGCCGUUGGCUACAGUAUCCUUCAAUGUCUACUCCCAUUUAUACUUGUCUCUGUAAUCCGUAUAUACUCAUAGAAAAUAUUUUAAUACAAUAUAAGGCAUUUCGGUUCUUAUCAAAUCAUAUAAUUUCUUUUUGAUAACAGUAAAUUCAAGUCACGAUAACAGAUCUAGUGACAACGAAAAUAUUUAAAACAAUGGUAAUCUUCUCAAAUAGCUAUUUCGGUAUCAUAUCGAGUAAAAAACUUGUCCCACAUGCAACUCAAAAUAAUCGGUAACAUAUUUAUAUUAAAAAUCAUGUGUAAAUCAUGCAAGUUAUGAAAACACAAAUUGCGGUAAGAUUACUACUCACAGUAAUCGUGCGAAAUACCAAACUCUUCACCUCGAACGAUUCAUACAAUUUUCUUCAAUCAAUCUAUAACCACAUCAACAUCGAUCUCGUGUUAAUUGCCUCAUUUAAGCUAAAUCCAUCACUAGUUUAGAAUAUCCAAUCCUCCGAGUUUUAUAUUUAACUCUUAAUUUGCCGAAUUAUAGUUACCCACAUAUGAGUAAUUACUAAUCUAUUAACUACAACCUAUUCAUAUAAUUUAUUAAUCCAAUUUCAUAAAGUUCUAUUGAUUCUUUAGGACGAAAAUUCUCAAUAAUCAUGUAAUAAUUAGCUAAUCAUUAGAAUUAAAAUUGAAGACAAUAAACUUUGAAACAUUGUAUAGCAGAACCGGAAACACAUCGUGUACUCUUUUAUUAACAUUGUGCACAUAACCUAUAUUUAAUUCAACUCUUUAAUAUGUAUAUUAAUUACCAUCAUUAGACAAUUAUUACUCCACACCCGUUCUGCCCCAAUUAUUAGGUAAUCAUCAUUCCUUAAAUUUAAAAGAAUAAAUCCCGUAGAAGAGUAGUAAUUUCUUUCUAGCGGCAUAUUUGUUUCUUCUAUAUCUAAUUCCCAGAAGUCAUUGCUAUAUUAUUCCCUUGUCUCUAGAUAAUUGGUAAGAUAAUUACAAAGUAAAUUAUGUGUAAGGUUAGUGUCAUGUAUAGGGAUAAAUACCUGAAUUAUAGUUUCCUCCCUCACUUUUCUUCUCCAACUAUGGUCGCCGCUCACCCGAUUCCGCUUCUCUUCAUUCUAUUUUUUUUCUUUCUUUCUUAGCGUUUUGUAGCUUCUAUUGUUUAGCAGCAGCUUGCUGCCUUUUGCCCUUUUAGUUUCUCUUUCCAAUGGGCUUUAGUCC
rnacentral:lncRNA from 1 species